rnacentral:rRNA from 1 species
GACGAACGCUGGCGGCGUGCUUAACACAUGCAAGUCGAGCGGAAAGGCCCCUUCGGGGGUACUCGAGCGGCGAACGGGUGAGUAACACGUGAGUAAUCUGCCCUCUACUUCGGGAUAGCCCUGGGAAACUGGGAUUAAUACCGGAUACGACUACCGAUUGCAUGAUCUGGUGGUGGAAAGUUUUUUCGGUGGAGGAUGUGCUCGCGGCCUAUCAGCUUGUUGGUGGGGUAAUGGCCUACCAAGGCUUCGACGGGUAGCCGGCCUGAGAGGGUGACCGGGCACAAUGGGACUGAGACACGGCCCAGACUCCUACGGGAGGCAGCAGUGGGGAAUAUUGGACAAUGGGCGGAAGCCUGAUCCAGCAACGCCGCGUGAGGGAUGACGGCCUUCGGGUUGUAAACCUCUUUCAGCGCCGACGAAGCGAAAGUGACGGUAGGCGCAGAAGAAGCACCGGCCAACUACGUGCCAGCCGCCGCCGUAAGAC